rnacentral:lncRNA from 1 species
GGGCAGUGCUUCCUACUCUGGCUGUGGGCCUCAAGUCCAAGGAGUUUGACUCAAAUCCACGCUCUUCCACAUGCAAGCAGUGUCCAAGGUGUGCCUGUGUCCCUCACUGGUGCAGUACAGUUGGUACCGCAUGAGGUUCAGAUAGAGCGACAGAGAGGCAACAUAUCAUGUGGCCCACGGAGGUGAAAAUGAUUUAUAUUUAAGGAUGUUGCUGCCUACUUCCAUUACUUUGAGGCAGAGAUGCCUCAGGAUGCAAGAGGUUUUCCUAUCUGCUCAGUCUCAAGAUCUUCCAAUAAAUUUUCUUUUGAGCUCUUUCUUAUCCUCCACAGAGCUAAGAACUGAUCCUUGUGUCCCAAGGCUAAUGGAAGCAAUUUGUAUACCAACCCAAACUGACUGGCCCACUUUUCAAAAUACAGGUAUGAUAAUCUUGUGGUUUUAAAAGGACAUUUAAAUUGAAAGACUGUGAAUUUAGUACAUAAUUAUACCAAUAGAACCCUUUAACUUGUCAACUUGUAAAUCUAAAAGGCUAUCAAUCAUUUCUAAAGAGGAAAUAAACCUUAAAACUCCUUGAUUGACAGUGCUUACUUUUUAUGUAAGAAAAAAAAAAGGCUGCAUAAAGUGGCCAGAAAUCCAUUUACAAAAGUACAUUGUUUUACAUAGGUGAGUAAAAAGCCAAUAAUUACACCCCCAAAAGACACAUAAAGCAGAGUAAGUACUUUUUCCACACUUGUAUAUUUUAAGUUAGAGUGAACUUCAGGUAACUUUUUAUUAAAAAGAUGUUUCCCAAAUGCAGCGCUUACUGACGUUAAUUAAGUUGCAUUUUCAGUUAGGAUAAUAUAAUCAUUUUUGCAAAUUUGAGAGUUAGCCAACCCUCCCC